rnacentral:rRNA from 1 species
UCCAGACUCCUACGGGAGGCAGCAGUGGGGGAUAUUGCACAAUGGGGGGAACCCUGAUGCAGCGACGCCGCGUGGGUGAAGGAGCGUUUCGGCGCGUAAAGCCCUAUCGGCAGGGAAGAAGGAGGACGGUACCUGACUAAGAAGCCCCGGCUAACUACGUGCCAGCAGCCGCGGUAAUACGUAGGGGGCAAGCGUUAUCCGGAUUUACUGGGUGUAAAGGGGGCGCAGACGGCAGCGCAAGCCAGGAGUGAAAGCCCGGGGCCCAACCCCGGGACUGCUCUUGGAACUGCGCGGCUGGAGUGCAGGAGGGGCAGGCGGAAUUCCUGGUGUAGCGGUGAAAUGCGUAGAUAUCAGGAGGAACACCGGUGGCGAAGGCGGCCUGCUGGACUGCGACUGACGUUGAGGCCCGAAAGCGUGGGGAGCAAACAGGAUUAGAUACCCUGGUAGG